AGAAGAUCUAUUCCUGCCAUACUCAGGGCUUCAGCACAAGGACAGAAAAUCUCAGAAACAAAACAAGAAAAGGGGAAGAAAAAAACCACCAUAAUCAGCAGGAAAUUCAGGAGAGAGUUUCGGUUCUCAGAGAGUAGCAAAGAGCUGAGAGACGCUGGAUAACAUCAGUUAAUGCUUUGAGGGCGACAUGCCAGGGAAAGCACCGAUCCCAGAAGGUAACUCCGACCUUAUGCAUGUGAUUAAUGUGUAUUAAUCUCCCCAAAGGCACAAUGGCAGGUGGGGAACUACAUGAACCUAAUCAGAUAACAGAAUGGAGCCACCAAACAAUGGUGACACCGCCACAGUGAGUCACCAGAAAGGCUCUCUGGCUCAUACAGGCAAGUGCUGCACAGGUGACCCUUCCAGUUUUCAUCCUGAAGAGCCAGAAAAAAGAUUAAACCGCAAAAUUAGCACUCUGAGGAAUGAGAGGCGAAGGAAAAGCUUGUCAAAUCACAGAGCGACAUGCUCCGAGGGAUAAGAGUCAAAGGAAAAGCUGCUGAAACCAGAGAAAAAUGGGAUUUAAAAAAAAAAAAAGAAAAGAAAGAU